rnacentral:lncRNA from 10 species
UUUUUGUAUUUUUAGUAGAGACGGGGUUUCAUCAUGUCGGCCAGGCUGGUCUUGAACUCCUGACCUCAGGUCUGUAAUCUUAGCACUUUGGGAGGCCGAAGCGGGCGGAUUACCUGAGGUCAGGAGUUAGAGACCAGCCUGGUCCAACAUGAUGAAACCCCGUCUCUACUAAAAAUACAAAAAAUUAGCCGGGCGUGGUGGCGGGCGCCUGUAAUCUUAGCUACUCGGAAAGCUGAGGCAGGAGAAUUGCUUGAAUCGGGGAGGCAGAGGUUGCAGUGAGCCGAGAUGAUGCCACUGCACUCCAGCCUGGGCGACAGAGUGAGACUCCGUCUCAAAAAAAAAAAAAAAAAAAAGUCCUGGCUUGGUGGCUCACACCUGUAAUCCCAGCACUUUGGGGGCCAAGGCGGGUGGAUCACCUGAGGCCAGGAGUUCAAGACCAGCCUGGCCGACAUGGGGAAACCCCGUCUCUACUAAAAAUACAAAAAUUAAGGCCAGGCACGGUGGCUUACGCCUGUAAUCCCAGCACUUUGGGAGGCCGAGGUGGGCGGAUCACAAGGUCAGGAGUUCAAGACCCGCCUGACCAACAUGGUGAAACCCCGUCUCUACUAAAGAUACAAAAAUUAGCCGGGUGUGGUGGUGUGCGCCUGUAAUCCCAGCUACUAGGGAGGCUGAGGCAGGAGAAUCAUUUGAACCCUGGAGGCGGACGUUGCGGUGAGCCGAGAUCGCGCCACUGCAUUUCCAGCCUGGGUGACAGGGUGAGACUCCGUCUCAAAAUAAAUAAAUAAAUAAAAAUAAAUACAUAAAAAUACAAAAAUUAGUCGAGCGUGGUGCCGGGGGCCUGUAAUCCCAGCUAUUCGGGAGGCUGAGGCAGGAGAAUCGCUUGAACCCGGGAGGCGGAGGUUGCAGUGAGCCGACAUUGCACCACAGCACUCCAGCCUGGGCGACAGAGUGAGACUCCGUCUCAAA